CCCAACUAUCCCUAUUAAUCAUUACGUCGAUCCUAGAAACCAACAAAAUAGGGUCAAACGUCCUAUUUCAUUAUUCCAUGCUAAUGUAUUCAAGCGUGUGCCUGCUUUAAACACUCUAAUUUUUUCAAAGUAACAGUCCUGAUUCCCCAUGACACCAAAUUAAUGACAUCACAGUUCGUCAGAAGGUAGAAAUCAAUAAUACCAGUGCAUACCAGAGGCACGACCAAUAUAUUGAUCCCGAAAUUCAACUACGAGCUUUUUAACUGCAACAACUUUAAUAUACGCUAUUGGAGCUGGAAUUACCGCGGCUGCUGGCACCAGACUUGCCCUCCAA
rnacentral:misc_RNA from 1 species